CCUACGGGUGGCAGCAGUGAGGAAUAUUGGUCAAUGGUCGGAGGACUGAACCAGCCAAGCCGCGUGAGGGAUGAAGGUACAGAGUAUCGUAAACCUCUUUUGUCAGGGAACAAAGGCGGGGACGUGUCCCCGUAUGCGUGUACCUGAAGAAAAAGCAUCGGCUAACUCCGUGCCAGCAGCCGCGGUAAUACGGAGGAUGCGAGCGUUAUCCGGAUUUAUUGGGUUUAAAGGGUGCGCAGGCGGUAUGUAAAGUCAGCGGUAAAAGCCCGGGGCUCAACCCCGUCGCGCCGUUGAAACUGGCAGUCUUGAGUGGGAGAGAAGUAUGCGGAAUGCGCGGUGUAGCGGUGAAAUGCAUAGAUAUCGCGCAGAACUCCGAUUGCGAAGGCAGCAUGCCGGCUCCACACUGACGCUGAGGCACGAAAGCGUGGGUAUCGAACAGGAUUAGAUACCCGAGUAGUC
rnacentral:rRNA from 1 species